GAUGAACGCUGGCGGCGUGCCUAAUACAUGCAAGUCGAGCGAACGGACGAGAAGCUUGCUUCUCUGAUGUUAGCGGCGGACGGGUGAGUAACACGUGGAUAACCUACCUAUAAGACUGGGAUAACUUCGGGAAACCGGAGCUAAUACCGGAUAAUAUUUUGAACCGCAUGGUUCAAAAGUAAAAGACGGUCUUGCUGUCACUUAUAGAUGGAUCCGCGCUGCAUUAGCUAGUUGGUAAGGUAACGGCUUACCAAGGCAACGAUGCAUAGCCGACCUGAGAGGGUGAUCGGCCACACUGGAACUGAGACACGGUCCAGACUCCUACGGGAGGCAGCAGUAGGGAAUCUUCCGCAAUGGGCGAAAGCCUGAUGGAGCAACGCCGCGUGAGUGAUGAAGGUCUUCGGAUCGUAAAACUCUGUUAUUAGGGAAGAACAUAUGUGUAAGUAACUGUGCACAUCUUGACGGUACCUAAUCAGAAAGCCACGGCUAACUACGUG
rnacentral:rRNA from 1 species